UUUCGUGUGGCCUAAUGGAUAAGGCGUUCGUCUCCGGAGUGGGAGAUCGCGGGUUCGAAGCCCAUAGUGAAAA
rfam:Arabis alpina cultivar Pajares Aa.chr1_contig_649, whole genome shotgun sequence.